rnacentral:lncRNA from 1 species
UGGGACGUACGGAUAUGGGCUGAAAUCCGGAUGUGGUCUUUUCUGAAGAGGGAGAUUUCUAUGCUUACGCUAAAGCCUUUCUAGUUUUAUGGGCUCUGUUUUGGGUCUCGGCCCAAGCAAGGGAGGUGGGUGACGUGGCGCCACACAUUUGGAGGAGCAAAUUCCAUCUCGCACGAAGUUGACGAGUGUCAAAUAGACUUUUCCUGUUUGUAUAAAGCAGCUUUGUUUCUGUUUUGUAUAUGGGCUGAUCUGUUUUGUUUGCAGGUUUUUCUUUAACCUUUUUGGGAUGAGCCCAAAAAUAUGAUAGCCUUGUUUCAGGGCACUACCAGUGUAUAUAUUUGUGUGAGUAUUCACAUGUGCACCAUGUUUAAAGAAGAAGACGACUAGUGUUUCAAAAGAGUUUUACUUUUAUUAAAUGACAUGUGAUACAUACAACUUUAAUGACAUGGUAAGAUGGUUACGAAGAGAGAGGGAGGAAGUUUCAUUACGAAUGGUCUUAUGUACGACACAAUAACAAGGUCUCAUAAACACACAAUCAUACUUGAAACGGCCACAAAAGUAAAUAUAUGGAAUGACCUUAUGCACGACAACAAUAACAUGGUCCAAUCAUGCAUGCAAAACAACCACAAAAGUAAAUCUAUGCAUGAAACAACCUCUAUACACCAACAAUCCAAUAAUAGUGCCAUCUUUAAUAUGUUUGUUCUAGAAGAGGGCCAAUAGGUUGGUGGCACAAUGGAAUGCAAGUGCCAAGCAGCUAUGACUCUCCACGGUGGGCCGUCGGCCCACUUGCAGGCCUCGUGCAUGCUCUAGCAAGUGUGUGCUAAUGAAAUUUUAAGUAGGCCAUGAAUACAUAGUACUCCUGCACUGUAGGAGACCGCUAUGUGAUACGCGCGUAGUAGGUAGGUACGUGUCACGAUGAGGCACACCGACAUUAAUACCACGAUUGGCAUUGCUUGGUAGGACACUGACGGCGGCUGGGCAGCCAAACGGACGGUGCUCCUAGAGCCAGGCAUGCACCAUCGUCGAUUGGCAGCUAGUUGAGAGCUAGCAAUACGUAUGGCGUAUGUGUACGCCUGCCUUCCUCUUUGUGUGUGUAGGAGUAUGUAUCAACGAUUUGUCUAUUUGGCAUGUACGAGUACGAGCUAGGAACUAUACGGACGACGUUUAUCUGACCUUGUGUCGAAACCGACGAUGGGAGACGUUCAUUCGUGGGUCGCUCUUACCUUCGUUGUUGAGAUGUCAUCCCGUGAUUAUACAGGCAUAGACCUAAUUCUAUUUUUUGGGAAACGUUCUGAUCUAGUUGGAGGCUUCGUUUUGGAGUCUCUCUUAAUUAUGUGAAGUUUUGGUUUGUGUCGGGUGCUAUUUAUCAUAUUUGCCGUGUUUACUUCGAAGUGUCAACUCACUACUGGAACUGAGCAUUCGUCCCGAGCUACCAAGCCUAACGACUAGUCCUCGAGGAGCCUCUCGUGAGGCCGUGACCCCCUUUAGUAGGGUGGAGGCUUCACCCGAUACUAGAGGUCACCAAACCUCCAACCGGUACUAAUGUGCCUGAGAGCCUUUACUAUUGGACGGAGACUUCUUUAGUACCGGGUGAAACCCUUACCCGAUAUAACGUCCAUCCUAUAAAUCCGGUUUCUUCUUCCUCCUGCCCGAACCACCCACCAAGCUCGAGCUUCAUCGGAAUGUGACCUAGGUGCUGCCGGAUUUUUUACCAUUUCUCGAGGAUUUCACUCAUUCAAGUGCUCUAAAGGCUAGAAACUUCAUCCUCCCUUGUUACAUGGUUAGUAUACUAAGUUUUAUGCUUUAGAGUUAGAAUAAUUUAUGAUUUUUAGAAUAAACUACAAUGGAAUUUUUUUUCAUUUAUAUGCAUAUGUUUUAUAUGUUUGAGCUCCAAUGGAUUGGAUGCUAUGUUUCGUAUUAAUUAAUUUUAUAGUUUAGUCCUUUACAAAUAUGAGCUAAAUAAAAUUGUGGGAAAAAAUAUAAUUUGUUCAUAGUUUAGUCAUUUGAAAAUAUGAGCUAAAUAAAUUGUGGUACGUAGAGAUAAUAAGAUGAAAUAGAGGUUUGUAAUUAGUCAUUUUUAGAAUAAGCUACAAUUCAUUUAUAUGUUAUGUUUGAGCUAUUUAAAUCGCGGGAAAAAAAUAUAAUUUGUUCAUAGCUUAGUCAUUUGCAAAUAUGAGCUAAUAAAUAAAUUGUGGUAUAUAGAGAUAAUUAAAUUUACAUGUUCGUAAUACUAAUUUAUUAUUGUAAAAUUUUAAAAAAUAAAGUGUUGUCCAAUCAAUAUGGCUACUACUGCUGGAGGGAGUGAUGAUGGUGGCAGCGAUCGUCGUUCCUCUCGCGGCAAGGGGAAACUCACAGUUGGCCCUCAUGAUAAACCGAAGAAAAUGAGCACGUGGAAGAGAGAACAAUGCUUUGUUAUUUGGAAAGAUGUCAUGAAGAUGUUGUUGCAGCGGGUCAGGAGUGGUCGUUAUGCUCCACCGCCAGUCCCGGAGGUUUCAGGUCCACCGAGUACUACCGUCGCAGGAGGCACAAAUAACCCAUAGGAUGAGGCUGGGUCAGCUAAACCUUCAUCUUUGCCAUCCAAGGAUGCUUAAAGUCCUCCCAGAUAGUACUCAGUGGAUGGUUUGUCAUAGGUACCAUGUUGUUUGGGUCUGAAAUUUAAAUUUGUGUAUUUCUAUCUAAACUUUCAGCAACGUUUGAGUUUUAUAAAAUGUGUAUCAUGUUUGUUAUGCUUGAUAAUUUUAUGGAUGAUCAGAACAUCUUUAAUUCGGUAAUACUUUGUAGAUGGAUCGACAAUGGAUGUACAACGUGGACAAAUGCUUCAUGGAGUACAUUAAUGGCUUGCGUAGUUUUCUGGCAGAGUUCAACAAGCCACCGUCCGGUUUUAUUUGCUGUCCAUGCAGAAAUUGCAAAAAUGAGAAGGAUUACUCAUCCAGAAAGACUACUUAUGCUCACAUAUACAGUUCAAGAUUCAUGCCUAACUAUUUUGUUUGGACUAAGCACGAUGAAAGAGGAGUUAUGCUGGAAGAUGAUGAUGAUGAAGAAGAAGAAGAUGACAUUCCGGACUGGACUCAAGGAGGUGCCUUUGCAUAUGCUGCAAUGGGCGAGGCUGAAGAAGGUUGCAGAAGAAGGUCCUACCGAUGAUCUAGGUCAGGUGCUGCGAGACGCAAAGGAAGACUGCAAGAAUGUGAAGGAGUCAAAGAAGUUCGAGCGUAUAUUAGAUGAUCAUAAGAAAUUGUUAUACCAAGAUUGCAAACAGGGGCGCAAAAAGUUAGGUACCACACUGAAAAUGCUGCAAUGGAAGGCAAAAAAUGGAGUUUUUGAUAAGGGUUUUGAUGAGCAGUAUACGUAAAUGAAACAAAUACAAAAUACUAAUAUAGAAUAAAUAAAUGGAAAAGAAAAUGAGAAAAGAAACAGAAAACAGAACUUAAUACAUAUAGUAAUACCGGUUGCACGACUGGUACUAGGGAGGUUCCCACCCGAUACUCAAUGCGCAUUCCCCACUGCAUGGCUAAUCCAAGGUGUUCAUCACGACUCUGAUGUAUUCUGGGAAGAAGAUAUCUUAAAUUGAAAAUAUGUUUAGUCUUAGAAAAAAUUAUUGAAGCAUCUCAAAUGUUGGGUAAGAAAAGAAAAUUAUUGAAGCAUGCAUGGGCAAGGCUCGCGUGGUACAUAGGACCAUAUAUGCAUGCAUGUGAAGGCAUAUGCAGCAUGCAUUUAGGCAGGCGCAAUGGACGCGGAGGUAACAGUGAGGAGUGGAGCUAUUUAGCAGUCGCGUCGUCCGGCCCAUGCAGUUGUCCAUCGCUAGCAGCUCGAUGAUGCAGCUGUGGGUGACACGUCUGGACUCUGGACAAACGAGUUUCGGCAACCGUCGGUGCUUCGUGCUUGUGCAUCUGUCUGUCACUCUGGAGCACAACAAGCACCGACGUCGUCGUCUAUAAUUUGCUGGACAAUUCAUCACUUAGUUAAUUUACCAACGGCUAACCUCCUGCAUGAGUACGUGUCUUCAAUUUGUUUCUGGUGGCAGCCAUUAAAUCCAAUACUAGAAUUCAAUUCACCCUGCUGCUGCCUCAACUGCACACUGACCAUCAUCUGCUGGCCCAACUGCCAACUACCUCCUGCCGGUCUCUUAACUCCCCAUCCGAUCGAGACCGACACCAACGACAGGGAUCCACCGACUGAAACUGAUGCACUGGACACCAUGGCCGUGGCCAUGCAUGCACCCUCGUCAGUCAUCGCUCACAGAUCUGACAGACCACAUACAGAGGUCGAUCGUAACCCUAUUUAAAGACCAACAUUCCCUCCUCACCAGCAAAGCAAAGCACAUUUCUUCCCAAGCAGCAAGCUAAACCACAUCCGAUCCAUCGAGCGCAGCUAGCAGCUAACACAACAGCAAGACAGCAUCAUGGCUCGCGCUCAGGUGGUGGUGCUCGCCGUCGUGGCCGUGGUGCUGCUCGCCGCGGCGGCCUCCGAGGCCGCCAUCAGCUGCGGCCAGGUCAACUCCGCCAUCGGCCAGUGCCUCCCUUACGCCCGCGGCCAGGGCUCCAAACCCUCCGACGCCUGCUGCAGCGGCGUCAGGAGACUCAACUCCGCCGCCACGACCACCGCCGACAGGCGCGCCGCAUGCAACUGCCUCAAGAACGCCGCCAGGGGGAUCAGCGGCCUCAACGCCGGCAACGCCGCCAGCAUCCCAUCCAAGUGCGGCGUCAGCAUCCCCUACUCCAUCAGCACCUCCACCGACUGCUCCAGGUAACUAUUAAUUAACACCUAUGGAUCCAUCAUGCAUCUCUCAUCGAUCCCCAAAUUAAAGUACAAGCAUUUCGAUUAAAAUUCUUGCUUCGAUCAUGCAGGGUGAGCUAAACGACCGCUCCGAAGCCUGCCUGCCUCCACCGUCGCUACAUACCUAUACAUGUAUGAGUUGACUGAUGAAUAAGAUCUCUCUCCGCCGUCGUGUACGCUAUUAUACGCUUGCUGGUAGUGUGUGCGUCGUCCUUCAUGUGUGAGAGAGGAGUCCUCCGAUCCUUGUGUCGUCGUCAUCCCUGCUACGUUUUGUACGUGUGCUCCUCCGUUUCCGUUUAUGGAGGAGACCGAGUCUGUACCUUGUCCAGUACCUUAUUAUAAUACACACUACACCUCUCUUUUUGGUAUGCUCCAUGACUUUCGAUGCUUUCUGCUUCGUCUCUCUGCACUUUUUUUUUUCUUUUACAGUUUUACUUACUAUUUGUCCUAAGUGCGUAAAAUCAACAUAUUGCUCUUUCACCAUCCUAGAUGGUUGGAUAAAAAAAACACAAUAUUUAGUAUUAGCUAGGACGAUGGGGAUUGGAAAAUGGUUUUCCAAUCACCUGAAAAUUAGUCUUACAUUUCUAUCAGAAGCGCAUGGCACACAAUACUCGCAACCAAUACAAGUCAUUUCUUCAAAGGGAAGAUGAUUAUAUUAAAGAUAAACAGACAGUACAUCCCACAAUUUUAUAAUAAUUAAUACAUGAAUCGGUUAACCUGAAAAAUAAAGAAAAAAUCGCUGGGUCAAAUAAAAAAUAAACUAGAAAACGUAGCUCUAGGUGCGCCGUCAUCAGGAUGAGCUAAUUCAAAAAGUUGGAUUAAAUGGUAUUAAUUUGGUAAUAGUAGAUUAUAAGUAUUUACCAUAUUUAUCCAAAGGCAGGUAGGGCCUUGUCACAUGGAGAUUUUACUCCAGCUCUAGGUGCAUGCGAAUGAUGGAAAUUCAAAAGAAAAGUUGUUGCUCACCGCCUCCGAUGGAUAGGGGGGCAAGUAGAAUGUUUUGCUACUGAUCAACACGAUACAUCUCGGUAGAAAGUGAAUUCCGUAACGCUAUGGGUGGAGUGGGGAAAAUCAUUUCUCUUUGCUUCCUCCCUCAGGGCUGUAUAUAUGUAAUAGUUUUGGGCAACAAUUCGUUUCCUGCAAUAACUAGGAAAAUUAUAAUUCCAAUGUUUCAAACACGCCCUUACACUAUUGCCAGCUUCAUAGGAGCCGCAACAUGCAUGGAUAUGUCCCCCAAGUGUUAUCCACUGCUGGCAGAACAAACCUUGGGUUCGUGUUGGUUCUUGUUUUUUUUUUCGAAUGAAAAGAGAGCGUUACUGACUAAAUGGGAGUAUGAUUACAAUCAGCUUGGAUAAGAUCAGCUACGCACGCAGGCGCUUGACCCAACCAAACUGCAGUGUGAGUGUUCCUCCUAGCUAAUUGAGCUAAUUCGUUUGCAACUCGAUUUCGCUCUCUUUUCACUUGGAUGAUUUUCCAUCCUCUCAGCAGACGCACCUGCUCCAAUGCCUCUUCCACCAAGAAGCCGACCUCUUGUUAUGAGCCGGCAUGGAUACUCCUAACAAUUAAGAGCCGGCAUGGAUAGUUUUUGAGGUAUCCGUGCUAGCUCCUGUUACGAAGCGACUUUGAUAUGACUUUUUUUACGAGCCUACAUUAAUACUUUUUUUUUAAAAUUUGUCAUUUGAAUUUCAGUUUGUUUUGAAAUUUAUAAAAGUUUCAUAUGCAAACAAAAAUAAACCAAGCUGAACCUUUUUUGAGUUACAUAAUAACGUUGAACCUUUUUUGAGUUACAUAAUAACAUUGAACCUUUUUUGUAUAUAUAUGCAUGUGAAAUAUGAUAAUUCAAAAAAAAACUAGACAAAUAUUUGAAAGCAAACAAAACAUUUGAAUGUGGAGAAAAAUAAUUGGAAGAAAAUACAAAUAAGAACAGAGAGAUAAAUAAAGUGGGCCUAGGGCCAAUUAUCUAGUCAUCCACAUGCUCUCUUGGGCUACUACUGAUCCACGCCGAGUGCGCCCAAGGAGGCCUUACAAAAGUUCUAUCCAAGUAGGCCUUUGAUUGUUCCUAGUCCCAGAACUACUUUAAAGUAUGUUGGGCCGGCCUAUAUUCUCAUAUGUAGUUUCUACUUCCAUUACCGUAGCCUAGAUAAGGAUAAGCAUAUAGAGGAAUUUGUUUCUUCAUCAUAUCAUGUCUUAAAAAGUAUGUUGGCUCUCUUGUGAUGCAAUAUGAUUUUUUAUUAUUUACCGGCCUAGCUAUGAGCUAAUUCAGUAAAAGGUCUUAAGAGCAGUGUUUCCUUUCCAAAUGAGAUAUUACUGUGAAUGGAGAUUUUGCACCAAACUACUAGUAGUAUGGAGCUAUGAGCUUGUGGUUGUAGUGUAGAAGCAUAAUGUCCUAGACCGAGAUUUUCAACAUAUAGAAAAUUAAAUGUGAACUAGCACUACCGAAAGAAAUUGUCAUUACUGCAAGUUUAAUUUUCUGUUGGUUCACCAGGUUUUGGACUAGUGGCUCUGGCUGGAGCACUGAAAAGAUUUCACCGUUCCUUUGGCAGUACAAGGGUAAGGCAAAAAGGACAACCUAUACACAUGAUCAGUCUUUGUUAACAGAGACGAAUAGUCAUCGUCAUGAUCAAUCAGUUAGGGACAGGGGCGGAGCCACGCCACCCCCCCCCCCCCCCCCCCCCCCCCCCCAAGGACUGGGAUCCUAGACAGUUGGUAUAAGCCUGAUCAGCUAGCCUAAUGAAGUUCGAUGCUUACAACUAAAUUUAAAUUAGGUUGCUUUUAGUUUUAUAAAUUGUUGAAUGAAGCUACACACAAUCUAGUUCAUUCUUUUCUAUUUUGCUGGAGGCUAUUAUGUCCAUAUACUCAUAUGGUAUUUUAUUAUAUAUCUUUGUCCAUGUGAUAUUUUUUUUCAAGAAUUAGCCACGCUCUAAUUAAGCAACAAUGCACAAUACCAACGACCUAGUCGAUGAUUAGACAUUUAGACAACGCUAGGUAGGAUAAAUGGGCAAAAAAAAAAGGUUAAAUGGUGGCGUCGAGUAUCAUGGAGAGCUAGACCUAAGUCCUGGCUACGCCCCUGGUUAGAGAGUGAGAGCGUCAACGUAUGUAGAACCCGUGAACCUAGUAGCUAAUAGUAGGAAAAAGACAGCCUAUACACAUGAUCAAUCCUUGUCGUUGUGAUGAACAGAUGAUAUUUUUUUCUUUUUGCCUAGCUAAUGAUAUGGUAAUUCUUCCCCGCAAAAAGAAAUGAUAUGAUAAUUCUAUUGGUUCUACGAGACAAACUUAGUUGAUUCAUUUACUUAUCAUUAAGACAACAAAUUGUAGAUGAUCAGCUCUUUAUUAUUUUUUUCACGUGCCUAAAUUAUAAAAUUAAAGAUUAAGGAGCCAACAAAUUAUACGGCGCUAUUUGCAUGAUGUGAAGUUGGAAUUGAAGUUAGUUGGUUGCAUGUGAACACAGGUCGUGGCUGAGAAGCCUCCACGCGUUGCGUAUGGAAGAGAGAGAGCAAUGCCAAUUAGCUAUAGCAAUGGAAUGUUUGCUGGUGAUGGAUGGGAGCUUGUUGGCUGGCUAGUCUUUGCAUCCAUGUACGGAGACGUGGCAACAAACAUUUUGAGGCCGCCACUACUGUCAAAGACAAAUGAUGAAUCGAUUGAUGGAAGCUGGGCUUGCUACUUGACCUGAUAACUAGGCUAACUACUGCAACACACUGAGCAUGAGAUUAUUAAACGACGGCGACCGGAAACUACUUUUUGGGAAUGUUAGUUAAUUUAUUUACAGCGCAAUCGACGCAUAGUGGCAACUGGUUUCUUGGAAUGUAUGUAUACAUCAUCGCAUCAGCAGGGUAUCCUUACUGGAUCCUAUUACUGUUGAGAUGUUGUGCUAUAAUACACCUGGGUGCAUCAUGUAGAAUGCACCCAGGCCAGCAGACGCACCACGUUGGAGCAACCAGCGCACCCAAUCAAACAUGUGGUGCAUACUUCCUAAGUUAAUUUGUAUCUUCCACCUACUAAAUAAAGUCACCUAGUAUACAAAUCCCAUCAGACAGCAUGCAUGCAUGCAUGGAAUCUUUUGUUGGUUCAAAUAUUUGAAACAAAUUUUCUCCUAAACCGUAACCCGAUUGGCAAACCGUUUGUUGCAUCUGGCUUAAAAAAAUAUGCUUAAUAAAACUAGAUCCAAUAUGGAUAUAUUUUUUUAUCGUUUAAGCGAGUUGCAUAUCAAUGUGCUAUCGAUUGCAACUCUGUCUACCACCGAGUUGCGACUAGUUAUAACUCUGUGUAUUAUAUGCAUCUGGUCACUAUAAUCACGUCAAGUUGCAAUUCCGAGUUGCAAUCAUACCUUGUUGCAACCAGAGUACCAACCGUGUUGCAACCGAGUAGUAACUAGUUACAAUCAGUAGUGAUUGGUUGCAAGUCUAUUUAGUAGGAAGUAUAUCUGGAUGAAAUUAGAGUAGCAACUGGAUGCAACUGAGUAUUAAAUAAUUGCAACCAUAAGUAACAAGUGCUAAAUAGGCUACAAUCAAGUUGCAAUUGGGUUGCAGACGUUCUUGCAACUCAAAGUACAACUUAGUUGUAAUUAUAUACUUAAAAAAACUUCAUCAAAUAUAGCCUUCAUGGAUCUCGUUGUGUUAAACACAUUUUUCCAACAACGUGCUUCAAACGAAAAUUGAACUUAUGGUUUAUCAGAUAUCGUAUUUUUUCGUUUCGAAUCAAUAAAAGUUCCUACAUGCAUGCUUCUGAUGAGUAGGUUGAGCUGUGAGGUGGCGUCACGUGUUAGUUGUCUCCAGGAGCGUGAGCUUUCCUUGAUGCGUGAAUUAGUUUGCGCGAGGGACAUAGGAUGGGAGUUUGCAGCAUAUGUGAUGCAUCAUUCUUCGUACAUUUGGAUUGCGACCGAUAAUUUAAAUCAGCUGAUAAAUUAAAUGGAUGGAAAAUUGCAGCACUAAUUCCAGUACUAUAGUUCAACGGCCAACGACCUGGCAGCGAUGGCCAUUAAUCCACCACCAUUAUUCAAUCAUGCUACCUAUAGCUCCUCCCUGAUCUAUUUAAACCCUCAUGAUCCUGCUCAUUCCAUCCCCUACAGCCAUCCACACUCAUCGAUCGAGCUAGCAGUUGGUUAGCAGCUUAUUAGCACACGCGACCGAUUGUAUAAUACAAUGGCUCCGAUGAGGAAGAUGCAGGCGGUGUUCGCCCUGGCCAUGGUGUUCGCGGCGGCGGCGCUGGUGGCGUCGUCGUCGGCGGCGAUCACCUGCGGUCAGGUGGCGUCGUCGCUGGCGCCGUGCAUCCCGUACGCGACGGGGAACGCCAACGCGAUGCCCUCGGGUUGCUGCGGCGGCGUGCGCAGCCUCAACAACGCGGCGCGCACCAGCGCGGACCGGCAGGCGGCGUGCCGGUGCCUCAAGAGCCUCGCCGGCACCAUCAAGAAGCUCAACAUGGGCACCGUCGCCGGCAUCCCCGGCAAGUGCGGCGUCUCCGUGCCAUUCCCCAUCAGCAUGUCCACCGACUGCAACAAGUACGUACUCGCUCCAUUCACCAUCCACCUAUUUGCAGUAAUUUAACCCUACAUGUCUCACUUAUACACAUGCGUCUCUCUAUUAUCGAUUCUUUGGCGCAGGGUCAGCUAAAUUCUACGUCAAUCCUACCUCAUGAUGAAGCUCCAUCAGAAACUAGCGAGCUAGCAAAAUAAAAUAAAGUUGUGGCAGCAGCAUCAGCAUCAUCGAUCAUCUUAUACAUAGUAACUGCCAUACUAUGUAUGCGUAUGUGCACAUGCACAUAUAUACUACUCUACAUGGCUAGCUAUACGUGUGUACGUGUCGCAAAGUGCUGGAAGCUGGCUUCUCGGACGAUGUGCGCUCCAUCAUAUGAUCUAUAUGCACCUCUGUGUUGUUUGAACAAGGAAUAGUGCUACUAUUAAUCGUUUUGCUCUGUUGCUGUCGGUGGUGCGUGCUCUGAUUUAACAUCCAUAUAUCCUGGUGCAUCUUUCAUUAUAUUUGAUGGUUAAAGUAAAACUUCAUUGUAAACUUGGUGAAAACAAACCUAAAGAGACACCCUUUGCGGGACGAAACCUGUAUUGUUGGAAAUGCAUGGAAGUAUGAGCAAAACACGGAGGAACGGUACGAAUAGUAGGAAAAAGUGGCCCCAGGUUCGACGCUGUCGCUAAUUAACCACUAAUUACAACUCACGUGUCAGCCAAAUUCUGCACCUAAUCAACAAAUUCUAACAAACACUUGCAGCUCCAUGGGCAAGUACAGCUACUGAUCGUACUAUUAGCCAGUGCCCAGCAGUGAUGUGCGAGCUUAACAUUAAUUGCUUACACGGAACGGAAGGCACAAAUUAAAUUAAGCUGAUAAAAUUAAACGUACAAUUUCGCUCUCACCUCCACAGCUGCAUGCGAUACACGGAACUGCCAGACGUGACAUGGACCCAAGCGGCUAAGACGAGUCUCCUGCCUACUACACGUACGUCUCAAUCGACUCUCGUGGCAAACAAACAAAAAAGAAACAUCCUCUUGCUCUGUUCUUCCUCACAAAUGCGAUCCAGCCAUCCAUGCAUUGCGACCUCAGCUGCAGGGAGCGACUACUCUUAGCGACAACCACGACAUUGACACGUGCGGCACCAAAUAUUUUAGCACACAGGCCAUAAU